ACAAUAAAUCACAAUGCGGAACAAUGUUUUGCAAUUGGAUUGAGAACAACGUACAAACCUUAUCGAUAAACAAUUGGAGGGCAAGUCUGGUGCCAGCAGCCGCGGUAAUUCCAGCUCCAAUAGCGUAUAUUAACGUUGUUGCAGUUAAAAAGCUCGUAGUUGAAAUGAAGGGUAGUUGUGUAAUGAAUACAUUCGUGUAUUUUGUUAUUCUACUACCCUCCUUCUAAAUUCGAUAUAUGAGUAUUAAUUUAAUUUACUUGUAUAUGGUUUUAGACUUUUACUGUGAGAAAAUUAGAGUGUUCAAAGCAGGCAUUUGCUUGAAUAUAUUAGCAUGGAAUAAUCAUGUAUGAUUUUCAUGAUGUAUUUGAUUGGUUUGGUUCAUGAGAAUAAGAUUAAAAGGGACAGUUGGGGGUAUUCAUAUUCAAUAGUCAGAGGUGAAAUUCUCGGAUUUAUGGAAGAUGAACA
rnacentral:rRNA from 1 species